AAAAAGGAUUUCUGCUGUGAUUAGCACAUUAAAGGUAACUAAAGUUGCCUUUUUUGUGGAAUCGAUAUCAAGAGAUUUCGGAAACAGAAUUUUUAUCCCUGGGCCUGCUAGUGAUCAAUAAUCUCGGUGUCCCA